UACGUAGGGUGCGAGCGUUGUCCGGAAUUAUUGGGCGUAAAGAGCUCGUAGGCGGUGUGUCGCGUCGGCCGUGAAAACCUGGGGCUUAACUCUGGGCGUGCGGUCGAUACGGGCAUCACUGGAGUUCGGCAGGGGAGACUGGAAUUCCUGGUGUAGCGGUGAAAUGCGCAGAUAUCAGGAGGAACACCGGUGGCGAAGGCGGGUCUCUGGGCCGAUACUGACGCUCAUGCACGAAAGCGUGGGGAGCAAACAGG
rnacentral:rRNA from 1 species